GACAGAGGGUGCAAACGUUGUUCGGAAUUACUGGGCGUAAAGCGUGCGCAGGCGGUUAUGCAAGACAGAGGUGAAAUCCCCGGGCUCAACCUGGGAACUGCCUUUGUGACUGCAUAGCUAGAGUACGGUAGAGGGGGAUGGAAUUCCGCGUGUAGCAGUGAAAUGCGUAGAUAUGCGGAGGAACACCGAUGGCGAAGGCAAUCCCCUGGACCUGUACUGACGCUCAUGCACGAAAGCGUGGGGAGCAAACAGG
rnacentral:rRNA from 1 species